rnacentral:rRNA from 1 species
GGUGGUAAAUCCAUCUAAGGCUAAAUAUGACCACGAGACCGAUAGCGAACAAGUACCGUGAGGGAAAGUGAAAAGAACUUGAAGAGAGAGUUCAAGAGUACGUGAACCGUUCAGGGUAAACCUGAGAAACCCAAAAGAUCGAAUGGGGAGAUUCAUCACUAGCGUGGUUGGCUUCCGUGCGGAUGCGAUGGCCGGGAUCUUGAUUCUGGGUCACGCGUUCGCUGCGGUAUGUCCGAUUCGUCGGUGUGCACUUCUCCCCUAGUAGGACGUCGCGACCCGUUGGGUGCUGGCCUACGGCCCGAUCGGUCGACUGUCGCGUCGCGUUAACGCGCGCACGCGACAGACCAUUGGUUGCCCGGCCGGCUGCCCGGCGGUAUAGAUCGCUAUAACACGGUAUUGGGCCGCAUUAAGUGCGUUCCGGCUCGUCGGCAGGCUCGUCUCGCUCGGAUUUACGGACCUAGCGCCGUUGCCGGGUGCUUGACGUGGCCGUUAGUCGACGAUGUCCUCGAACUGGCUCUUAAAUUCGAACGGAUUUACCGGUCGGCGACGCUACUGCUUUGGGUACUUUCAGGACCCGUCUUGAAACACGGACCAAGGAGUCUAACAUGUGCGCGAGUCAUUGGGACUUGUUUUAAGCCUAAAGGCGCAAUGAAAGUGAAGAUCGACCCUAGCGUCGAUCGAGGGAGGAUGGCUCGUUUUACGAUGCGAAUCCGCACUGCCCGGGGCGUCUCGUGCUCAUAGCGAGCAGAGGCGCACCCAAAGCGUAA